UAAUUUUGAAAAUCUCAUGCAUAGAACAAAAUCAUCAAUCAUGAUAUCAAAACAUUUAUCAUUUAAAGCAUUCAUGAUACACAUCAUAUGCAAUACAUCACAUAUAUUAUCAUAAUAAAAGGCAUAAGUAUUGCAUGCAUCAUUCCAAAUUAUAAAUAUUUCAAAUCAUAAUGGUAUUAAUUUGUCAAAUUGCAUCCUACCAUGCAUGAUCAUAACUUUUCAUUUGUAUGCAUCAAAAUAAUCUCAAGAGUAUUUCAUGCAUAAUUUUAUAUCACCACAUAAGGAAUAUCAAGAAGAAAAUAAUUGGGUGAUGAGAUAAACAUUUCAUGAAUAUAAGGAAUUACAUAAAAAUUUUAUCAUGAAGGAUUAGAACAUGUGAAUACCAAAAGACAUGAUUUCUUUUUGAAAAACCUACUCAUAAAUAAUCAAAAGAAAAUCUUAGGAGAUCGAUUAAUGAAAAAUCUUGAUUCAUAAUAAAUCUUAAUUUGUAAAUAUCACGGAAUCAAGAUCAUGAUUUUAGAUAAAACUCAUUCAAAUUCAAAUCGUCUAA
rnacentral:lncRNA from 1 species